rnacentral:rRNA from 1 species
AGCGAACGCUGGCGGCAGGCCUAACACAUGCAAGUCGAACGAACCUUUCGGGGUUAGUGGCGGACGGGUGAGUAACACGUGGGAACGUGCCUUUAGGUUCGGAAUAACUCAGGGAAACUUGUGCUAAUACCGAAUGUGCCCUUCGGGGGAAAGAUUAAUCGCCUUUAGAGCGGCCCGCGUCUGAUUAGCUAGUUGGUUGAGGUAAUGGCUCACCAAUGCGACGUACAGUAGCUGGUCUGAGAGGAUGAUAAGCCACAUUGGGACUGAGACACGGCCCAAAACCCUACGGAGCACAGCGGGAGAAAGUAUUACGAAAGGAAGGAAACCCUAACACACCCGCGCCCGGUAAAUAAUAAAUUUAUUAGUAUAAAAAAUUUCUCUACCCCGAACCGAUAAUGACGGUACCGGAAAAAAAACCCCCGGCUAACUUCGUC